rnacentral:rRNA from 1 species
ACGAACGCUGGCGGCAUGCCUAACACAUGCAAGUCGAACGAGACCUUCGGGUCUAGUGGCGCACGGGUGCGUAACGCGUGGGAACCUGCCCUUAGGUUCGGAAUAACUCCCCGAAAGGGGUGCUAAUACCGGAUAAUGUCUUCGGACCAAAGAUUUAUCGCCUUUGGAUGGGCCCGCGUUGGAUUAGCUAGUUGGUAGGGUAAAAGCCUACCAAGGCGACGAUCCAUAGCUGGUCUGAGAGGAUGAUCAGCCACACUGGGACUGAGACACGGCCCAGACUCCUACGGGAGGCAGCAGUGGGGAAUAUUGGACAAUGGGCGAAAGCCUGAUCCAGCAAUGCCGCGUGAGUGAUGAAGGCCUUAGGGCUGUAAAGCUCUUUUACCCGGGAUGAUAAUGACAGUACCGGGAGAAUAAGCUCCGGCUAACUCCGUG